AAGGCCUUAGCUUAAUUAAAGUGUCUGAGUUGCAUUCAGAAGAUGUGGGGUAAAGUCCCGCAGGUUUUA
rnacentral:tRNA from 1 species